GUGUAGCGGUGAAAUGCUUAGAUAUCACGAAGAACUCCGAUUGCGAAGGCAGCUUGCUGGACUGUAACUGACGCUGAUGCUCGAAAGUGUGGGUAUCAAACAGGAUUAGAUACCCUGGUAGUCCACACAGUAAACGAUGAAUACUCGCUGUUUGCGAUAUACAGUAAGCGGCCAAGCGAAAGCGUUAAGUAUUCCACCUGGGGAGUACGCCGGCAACGGUGAAACUCAAAGGAAUUGACGGGGGCCCGCACAAGCGGAGGAACAUGUGGUUUAAUUCGAUGAUACGCGAGGAACCUUACCCGGGCUUGAAUUGCAACUGAAUGAUGUGGAGACAUGUCAGCCGCAAGGCAGUUGUGAAGGUGCUGCAUGGUUGUCGUCAGCUCGUGCCGUGAGGUGUCGGCUUAAGUGCCAUAACGAGCGCAACCCUUAUCGAUAGUUACCAUCAGGUUAUGCUGGGGACUCUGUCGAGACUGCCGUCGUAAGAUGUGAGGAAGGUGGGGAUGACGUCAAAUCAGCACGGCCCUUACGUCCGGGGCUACACACGUGUUACAAUGGGGGGUACAGAAGGCAGCUACACGGCGACGUGAUGCUAAUCCCGAAAGCCUCUCUCAGUUCGGAUUGGAGUCUGCAACCCGACUCCAUGAAGCUGGAUUCGCUAGUAAUCGCGCAUCAGCCACGGCGCGGUGAAUACGUUCCCGGGCCUUGUACACACCGCCCGUCAAGCCAUGAAAGCCGGGGGUACCUGAAGUGCGUAACCGCAAGGAGCGCCCUAGGGUAAAACUGGUGAUUGGGGCUAAGUCGUAACAAGGUAGCCGUACCGGAAGGUGCGGCUG
rnacentral:rRNA from 1 species